AGAGUCUCGUCUUGUUGGGGAUAACUCUGAAAGUAAUUAAUCCCCUUACUUUCGACCAAGAGAGCUUUGGUCUCAGCCAGAGAGACUUAAGGGGAUUACGUGUUGGGAGGUAAGGUCACCAGGCGAGGAUUCUAGCCGUUUUGGAGGAGAUCAGCCACCUGACGGAGCCCGGUCCAGACUCUACGGAAGCAGCAGUGGGGAAUCUGCACCAUUGAGGCAACCUUGAUGCAUCAUGCCGCGGUGUGAAGAAGGCCUUCGGAUGUAAAGCACUUUCAGUGUGAGGAAAGGUUAGUAGUUAAUACCUGCUAGCUGUGACGUUAACACAGAAGAAGCACCGGCUAACUCCGUGCCAGCAGCCGCGGUAAUACGGAGGGUGCGAGCGUUAAUCGGAAUUACUGGGCGUAAAGCGCACGCAGGCGGUCUGUUAAGCUAGAUGUGAAAGCCCCGCGCUCAACGUGGGAGGGUCAUUUAGAACUGGCAGACUAGAGUCUUGGAGAGGGGAGUGGAAUUCCAGGUGUAGCGGUGAAAUGCGUAGAGAUCUGGAGGAACAUCAAUGGCGAAGGCAACUCCCUGGCCAAAGACUGACGCUCAUGUGCGAAAGUGUGGGUAGCGAACAGGAUUAGAUACCCUGGUAGUCCACACCGUAAACGCUGUCUACUAGCUGUUUGUGGAUUUAAUCCGUGAGUAGCGAAGCUAACGCGAUAAGUAGACCGCCUGGGGAGUACGGCCGCAAGGUUAAAACUCAAAUGAAUUGACGGGGGCCCGCACAAGCGGUGGAGCAUGUGGUUUAAUUCGAUGCAACAGACAAGAGGAGAACCUUACCUACUCUUGACAUACUAGAAACUUUCAGAGAUGAAUUGGUGCAUCGGAUCUGUAC
rnacentral:rRNA from 1 species